AAAGCCUCAAAAGAUUUAAUUUAUAUCCUGUCUGUGAAGGACAGCGGUGCCUGACUCGUGGUGUUCACAGCUGGUGGUUGAUGCUGAGCCAUCUGCAGCCUGAACUCGACGUGGCUUUUCCAUUGACAGCCAGCUCAGAGCCUGGCUCUUUCUCUCUGUGUAACUUCUCUCCAUCCUGAAUAGCAAAUGGGGGGGCAGGUCCCCUGGUGACACUUGUCCUUUCCUCUUUGCAGGGAGUUGGAGAUGAUGACAACAGCAGCAGCAGCAGCAGCACUGAGGAGCCUCAGGACCAGGGCCACGCUGAGGAUGAUGAGAAGGAAGCCCAGGAGUAGACUUGCUGGGCAUGCCGAAGAGGUGGGGAUGCUGGAGGGGGCUGGCCAUUGGUAGCCAAAUAAAAGCAUUUGGACCCUAAA